AUGAAGUUCAGUGGCUUUGUUUUUCUUCCCUUUUCUCUCCCCUGCACGUGUUCAUCCACACAGAUGACUCACCAGUUAUUAAUACCAUAUUUAGUGAAGAUGACCAGAAAGCUAGUGGAGGAACUUCUUUGUUUGAAGAAAGAAACCUUAAGAAGAUGUAGUUCCAUGCAUCUCAUGAAUAAACAAUUCGAAAAGUUAUUGAAGCAUCUGAAGUGGCCAUCACAUUCUGGACAGACUUUAGGUCCAGGUGAUCACUGGAGAAUAGAUACUUCUACCUGUCUUCUCUCCAGCAGCAUAGCGGCCCAAAUGGAGAAGAUUCAUCCUGCCUUCCCUCCAACAUCCACAUUGUUUGAGCGAUACUGGAUGGAAUUCAGUACAGUCACUUUGGAUCUCAGACAUGAAAGAUCCCUGGGAUUCACUGGCAUAUGGAUGGAAAGCUAAUAGAAAUCUCUGUUAAUACAGUCACAGGAAAGGAGUCCCUAUGAAAAACUUGGUGACAUUUUACCACUGAAACCAAAAUGGUAAUGAAAUUACUAAAUUUAGUUCAGCCAUAGCUGUUGAGCUGUGUAUAGAAAAAAAAAUAAUGUAUAUAUAUGUCUUGCUGUAAGUUGUUGUAUACAUUCUUAUUUCUUAUACUAUGCAUGUAUGCAUGCAAGUAGUGAUACUUUUAAUUAAUUAACUUAUUUAUUCAUUUUUAUUUAUUUAUUUAUAACUAAUUCCACUCCUUUGAUAGUUUCUGUCAAAUGCUAAUCUUCCUGGAAUAAUUAGGAAUUUUUCUUAUUGAAAUUAUUGGACAGGCUCCCAUUUACUUUGACUGGUCUUCAAAGAAGGUUUCAGAAAAUUUAAAUUGAAAA
rnacentral:lncRNA from 1 species